ACCGCCGCCGCCACCAAGUCCACUUAUUUUCUGGUCAAAUUUGAGGUGUUAAUUCAUGCAACAAUUCAAGGAUUCAAGACUUUUUUUUGGAAUAUUGUUUUGAUGUUGUAAUUUUUUUUUUUAUUGUUUUACAAUUUCAAUUUCUGAGUUGAAUUUCAUUAUAAUUCAUUGUAACUUUUUAAUUUUUUUUUUGUAUUGUACAAUAACAAUUUACUUGAAUAUAAUGUGAUUUACAAUUGUUUUGA